rnacentral:rRNA from 1 species
CCUACGGGUGGCAGCAGUGAGGAAUAUUGGUCAAUGGACGAGAGUCUGAACCAGCCAAGUAGCGUGAAGGAUGACUGCCCUAUGGGUUGUAAACUUCUUUUAUAUGGGAAUAAAAUGUUCCACGUGUGGGAUUUUGUAUGUACCAUAUGAAUAAGGAUCGGCUAACUCCGUGCCAGCAGCCGCGGUAAUACGGAGGAUCCGAGCGUUAUCCGGAUUUAUUGGGUUUAAAGGGAGCGUAGGUGGAUUGUUAAGCCAGUUGUGAAAGUUUGCGGCUCAACCGUAAAAUUGCAGUUGAAACUGGCAGUCUUGAGUACAGUAGAGGUGGGCGGAAUUCGUGGUGUAGCGGUGAAAUGCUUAGAUAUCACGAAGAACUCCGAUUGCGAAGGCAGUUCACUGGACUGCAACUGACACUGAGGCUCGAAAGUGUGGGUAUCAAACAGGAUUAGAUACCCGUGUAGUC